CUGCUGCCUCCCGUAGGAGUCUGGGCCGUGUCUCAGUCCCAGUGUGGCCGUCCACCCUCUCAGGCCGGCUGCUGAUCGUCGCUUUGGUGGGCCGUUACCCCGCCAACUGGCUAAUCAGACGCGGGCCCAUCCUGUACCACCGGAGUUUUCAAAGGAUUACCAUGCGGUAUUCCCUAUUAUGCGGUAUUAGCACCUAUUUCUAAGUGUUAUCCCCCGGUACAGGGCAGGUUGCCCACGCGUUACUCACCCGUCCGCACUAAAACNGAUU
rnacentral:rRNA from 1 species